rnacentral:ncRNA from 1 species
AAAAAGUUUUAUUUUGGCUUAGUGAAUUAGUAUUUAUUUUAUUUGUAUAUGUAAAUUUUAAUUUAAUUAAUUUUGAAUAGAUUAAUUUAAUUAUUGCAGUAUUUAUUAUUAAAAAUUAAGGAAACUUAGAUUUAGAAAUGUAUUUUAAUAUAAACAAAUUUUGUGCCAGCAGUUGCGGUUACACAAAAUAUAUAAUUAAUUAUUUUUAGUUUUAAAUAAAUUUAAUUUAAUUUUAAUUAAAAUUAUUUUUUAUUAAGUGAAAUUUUAAAAAAUUAAAAUUUAAUAUAAAAUAAAUGUAUUUAGAAAUUUUUAAAUUAAACUAGGAUUAGAUACCCUAUUAUAAAAAAUGUAAUUAUUUUACUUAAUUAAUAAUUGUUAUUUUCAUGAAAAUUAAAAAAUUUGGCGGUAUUUUAGUCUUUUCAGAGGAACCUGUUCUAUAAUUGAUAAUCCACGUUUAAUUGCACUUAUUUUAAUAAAUUUGCAUAUCGCUGUAGUUGAAUAUUUUAUAAGAAUAAUAAUAUUCAAAAUUUUUUAUAAAAAUUAAAAUCAAGUCAAGGCGCAGUUUAUAAAUAAGAAGAAAUGGGUUACAAUAAAAUUUAAUUAUAAUGAAUUUAUAAAUGAAAAUUUAUUUUGAAGGAGGAUUUGAAAGUAAUUAAAAAUAUUAUUUUUUAUGAUUUAAGCUCUAAAAUAUGCACAUAUCGCCCGUCGCUUUCAUUAUUAAUUGAAAUAAGUCGUAACAAAGUAGAUGUACUGGAAAGUGUAUCUAGAAUUC